rnacentral:misc_RNA from 1 species
CCUAACACAUGCCUCCUACGGGAGGCAGUGGGUUGCACAAUGGGCGCAAGCCUGAUGCA